GAUGAUGAAUUUCUGGUGUCUUCUUUUGCAUUUUUUCUCACUCGGAGUAUUGCAUUUACACCUCAAGUGAUCAUGGGCUGACAUAAUUUGUUCCAUAAGGAUAUUAUUCUGCACAAUCUGAGUGGUUCGUGGGAUGCCGAUCUUUCCCGCAAGCUAAGAAGAGGAAGUGUUGAAUUCAGACCAUGCCCUUUGGUUUACCCCAAACCUGGAUACUCAAACCCCACGAUUAAAGUGUUUGUUGUGGACCUCGUUGCUCACAAACGGUUUGAGCUUCCUGAACCAGUUGUCUUUAUGAAGAUGUGAGAGGUUUUCUUGUACUUGUACAUGUUUUGGUUGUG